UCAAGGUUUUUUCCUCUUAAAACCUUUUAUUCCUAAGAGUUAUAAUGGGAAAUUGUUACUGUAAUUUUUGACUUUGCGUAAUUCAAAGUUGUGUAAUUUGGAAAGCGCAUUAUGUGUUAGUAAAUAGUUAUGGUCUACUUACUGCUACAUUAGUAUUCCCUUCACUAUUUCAGCCUUUUAAAUCCAUACACAUAAUAAGUACAAGAAUAAUGCCUACUGGUAAUUAUGUUUUAAUGUUUUUAUAAGUCAUUUGUGUGUUUCUAAGAAUACCUUCUUACAAUCUUCAACACUUGAGCUCAUUCUAUAAAUAGACAACUAGUACUUAAGACUUUCAACCACUUAGGCCCGUAUUUAUAAACCGAUCUCAAUACCGCUCUCAAGAGCGAUAUCAACUGAGUCACUCUCAAGAUGUAAACAGCGUCUUAAGUGCGACGUUAAUUAAUAGACGAAUAUUGAGCGCGUAUCACAUGAUAUCGAUCUCAAGUUCAGGAUCUCAAGUAAACGUCCUAAUUGAGUGAACUAUAGACCGAACGAAUCAACGUUUCGUUCCUGCUUUAAAAAAAUAUUUCGGUUUAGGGCUUCAAACAUAUUAAAAAUUGUUCAAUUCUUUACUAAAAUGUUAAAAUUAUUAUAAUUCAAACGUAGGUUAUUUAAAUUUAUUAUAAAAACGGUCAUUUAACGUUUUAAAAAUAAUUUGUUAUGAUUUCAAAACGCAAUGUGUAGUGAAAACAAAACGCAACAAACAUCAUUCUCAAAAAAAAAGACGCGUCCUUCGCAACCACUUGUUUUGUUUUUGUAUAGUUUAGACUUUAGUUAUCAAUAAUAAACGUAAAGUAAUUACUGUCCAUAACGAUGUCAACAAUUAAGAAGCAUAUUUUUACUCCCCUCGAGAAGAAAACUUUUUUGGAUAUAUUGAAAAGAUACUCCUCGGUGAUAGAGAAUAAGGAUACCGAUGGCGCUUCAUUACGCGCAAAAAAUGAAGCUUGGGAUAUUGUAACCAGAGAAUACAACGCAAGCCCUCAUGCUACCAAUCAGGUUACAAAUAAACAACUUAGGAGAUUGUGGAUGAACCUCAAGCAGCGGCAAAGGGAAGCACUGACAAAAGAACGUCAACAUCGGCUAGCUACUGGAGGAGGGCCUGCAACCAGCUGUAACCAGUGAUGCAGUUGUAGACCCAGAUGUGUCUGAGGUGGCCCCUGCUCUAAUAGUUGGUAUCGAUGAUGCUGUUGACUCUGAUACAAUUCCAGUAACCGCUGACCUUGCCGUCCAAGAAGUAAAUAUGGACUUGCAGCCCGUCUCUUGUCUUCCCCCAACUUCUUCCCAAAUACCAUCCACCAGUGCAUUUUCUUCAUCACCAUUCCCAUGCGCUGUUGUUACACAAGCACCACUUGCCCUUGCCCCAACCCGGACAACAUUGACACCACCUCCACCUGGAGUAGGUCCACUACUGUCUCUCACUACAACCACUCCACCACCAGCUCUCCCUACAACCACUCCACCACCACCUCUCCCUACAUCCACUCCACCACCACCACCUCUUACUGCUUCCACUCCACCACCACCUCUUCCUACAUCCACUCCACCACCACGUCUUCCUACCCCACCUCCACGUUUUCCUACUCCACCUCUUAUUAACCCAUCAAAUACAGCUACCCAAACUUUUCAAAGGCAUAAAAGUUCUAUUCUGGAUAAGGAAUAUAAAGACAGACAGAGACGGGCUAAUGAGAUUCAUGAGUUGGAGGUUUUAUUGUUAAGAGAAAGAAUAAGAGAAGCAAAGGCGAGAGCAGACCUCGCAGAACUUCAACUGCAGCAGCAGUGUUCGUCAGAUACUGCAACUGAUGCCUGAAGAGGGGAUGUGGCAUAAUAUAAUAAAUGGAAUAUUGUUAAUUUAUUAAAUAAAAGCAUAUAAGUCAAUAUAUAAAAUAUGUUUUAUUAAAUAAUUUCAAAUACUA
rnacentral:lncRNA from 1 species